rnacentral:rRNA from 1 species
AGUGAACGCUGGCGGCAGGCCUAACACAUGCAAGUCGAACGGCAGGACAGUGCUAGCUUGCGGUUACGGGGGGGGAGUGGCGGGCGGGACAGGAGAAUAUCGGACUCUAUUUUUUCGUGGGGCUACAGUAGGGUGAGGCUCGCUAAUACCGCAUGCGACUUACGGGUGGAGGCAGGUGAUCUUCUGACUCUGCGCGGUUGAGUGUGCCGAUGUCGCAGUAGCUAGUUGGGGGGGUAAAGGACCAACAAGUCGACGAUUCGUCGCCGGGGGGAGAGGAUGAUCAGCCACACUGGAACUGAGACACGGUCCAGACUCCUACGGGAGGCAGCAGUGGGGAAUAUGGGACAAUGGGCGAAAGCCUGAUCCAGCCAUACCGCGUGUGUGAAGAAGGCCUUCGGGUUGUAAAGCCCGUUUGUGGGGAAAGAAAAGCAGUAGGUUAAGACCCCGCUGGUGUGACGGUACCCAAAGAAUAAGCACCGGCUAACUUCGUG